UAGGGAAUCUUCCACAAUGGACGCAAGUCUGAUGGAGCAACGCCGCGUGAGUGAAGAAGGUUUUCGGACCGUAAAGCUCUGUUGUUGGUGAAGAAGGAUAGAGGUAGUAACUGGCCUUUAUUUGACGGUAAUCAACCAGAAAGUCACGGCUAACUACGUGCCAGCAGCCGCGGUAAUACGUAGGUGGCAAGCGUUGUCCGGAUUUAUUGGGCGUAAAGCGAGCGCAGGCGGAAGAAUAAGUCUGAUGUGAAAGCCCUCGGCUUAACCGAGGAAUUGCAUCGGAAACUGUUUUUCUUGAGUGCAGAAGAGGAGAGUAGAACUCCAUGUGUAGCGGUGGAAUGCGUAGAUAUAUGGAAGAAUACCAGUGGCGAAGGCGGCUCUCUGGUCUGCAACUGACGCUGAGGCUCGAAAGCAUGGGUAGCGAACAGGAUUAGAUACCCUGGUAGUCCAUGCCGUAAAACGAUGAGUGCUAAGUGUUGGGAGGCUUCCGCCUCUCAGUGCUGCAGCUAACGCAUUAAGCACUCCGCCUGGGGGAGUACGACCGCAAAGGUUGAAAC
rnacentral:rRNA from 1 species